rnacentral:rRNA from 1 species
CAGUAGCCACGGUAAUACGUAGGUGGCAAGCGUUGUCCGGAAUUAUUGGGCGUAAAGGGCUCGCAGGCGGUUUCUUAAGUCCGAUGUGAAAGCCCCCGGCUCAACCGGGGAGGGUCAUUGGAAACUGGGAAACUUGAGUGCAGAAGAGGAGAGUGGAAUUCCACGUGUAGCGGUGAAAUGCGUAGAGAUGUGGAGGAACACCAGUGGCGAAGGCGACUCUCUGGUCUGUAACUGACGCUGAGGAGCGAAAGCGUGGGGAGCGAACAGGAUUAGAUACCCCAGUAGUCCCUGUCUCUUAUAC